rnacentral:rRNA from 1 species
CCUACGGGUGGCAGCAGUGGGGAAUAUUGCACAAUGGGGGAAACCCUGAUGCAGCGACGCCGCGUGAAGGAAGAAGUAUUUCGGUAUGUCAACUUCUAUCAGCAGGGAAGAAAAUGACGGUACCUGACUAAGAAGCACCGGCUAACUACGUGCCAGCAGCCGCGGUAAUACGUAGGGGGCACGCGUGAUCCGGAUUUACUGGGGGUAAAGGGAGCGGAGGCGGUUUAGCAAGUCCGAAGUGAAAGCCCGGGGCUCAAAUCCGGGACGGCUUUUGAAACUGUUGAACUAGAUUGCAGGAGAGGUAAGUGGAAUUCCUGGUGUAGCGGUGAAAUGCGUAGAUAUUAGGAGGAACACCAGUGGCGAAGGCGGCUUACUGUACUGUAAAUGACGCUGAGGCUCGAAAGCGUGGGGAGCGAACAGGAUUAGAUACCCCAGUAGUC